GUCCAGACUCCUACGGGAGGCAGCAGUGAGGAAUAUUGGUCAAUGGCCGAGAGGCUGAACCAGCCAAGUCGCGUGAGGGAAGACGGCCCUACGGGUUGUAAACCUCUUUUGUCGGGGAGCAAAAGACGCCACGCGUGGCGUUCCGAGAGUACCCGAAGAAAAAGCAUCGGCUAACUCCGUGCCAGCAGCCGCGGUAAUACGGAGGAUGCGAGCGUUAUCCGGAUUUAUUGGGUUUAAAGGGUGCGCAGGCGGAAGAUCAAGUCAGCGGUAAAAUUGAGAGGCUCAACCUCUUCGAGCCGUUGAAACUGGCAGUCUCGAGUUGGAGAGAAGUAUGCGGAAUGCGCGGUGUAGCGGUGAAAUGCAUAGAUAUCGCGCAGAACUCCGAUUGCGAAGGCAGCAUGCCGGCUCCACACUGACGCUGAGGCACGAAAGCGUGGGUAUCGAACAGGAUUAGAUACCCUUGUA
rnacentral:rRNA from 1 species